GACGAACGCUGGCGGCGUGCUUAACACAUGCAAGUCGAACGGAAAGGCCCCUUUGGGGGUACUCGAGUGGCGAACGGGGGAGUAACACGUGAGUAACCUGCCCUUGACUUCGGGAUAACUUCAGGAAACUGGGGCUAAUACCGGAUAGGAAUCCUUGCUGCAUGGUGGGGGUUGGAAAGCUUCGGCGGUUUUGGAUGGACUCGCGGCUUAUCAGCUUGUUGGUGGGGUAGUGGCUUACCAAGGCUUUGACGGGUAGCCGGCCUGAGAGGGCGACCGGCCACAUUGGGACUGAGAUACGGCCCAGACUCCUACGGGAGGCAGCAGUGGGGAAUAUUGCACAAUGGGCGGAGGCCUGAUGCAGCAACGCCGCGUGCGGGAUGACGGCCUUCGGGUUGUAAACCGCUUUCAGCAGGGGCGAAGCUUGUGGUGACGGUACCUGCAGAAGAAGCACCGGCUAACUACGUG
rnacentral:rRNA from 1 species